GUAUUUUUUAAAUAAUUUUCCUUCGGUGUAGAAUUUUGUUUACAUUCUAAUGCCAAAGUUCUUAGAUUUUGAGGACAAGAAAGUAUGGUUGACUUGUAACUAAUUUUCUUUUGAAGGAUAUUAAGAGGAUUUAAAAUUAACAAAAGAUUUUUAUACCUUAUAGGCCAAAGGUUUUUAUGUCUUAAUACUAAGUUUUCUCUUUCAAAAUUUUUCAAGGAUUCAAUUAGUGAUUGAGGUUUCCAUAAGAAUUUGUUUAAAGAUUGGAUUCUGACUCCUAGCUUAACUCCUUUU
rnacentral:lncRNA from 1 species